GACGAACGCUGGCGGCGUGCUUAACACAUGCAAGUCGAACGAAAAGAGGGAAAGAGCUUGCUCUUUCCGGAAUUGAGUGGCAAACGGGUGAGUAACACGUAAACAACCUGCCUUCAGGAUGGGGACAACAGACGGAAACGACUGCUAAUACCGAAUAAGUUCCAAGGGCCGCAUGGCCCAUGGAAGAAAAGGUGGCCUCUACCUGUAAGCUAUCGCCUGAAGAGGGGUUUGCGUCGGAUUAGCUGGUUGGAGGGGUAACGGCCCACCAAGGCGACGAUCAGUAGCCGGUCUGAGAGGAUGAACGGCCACACUGGAAGUGAGACACGGUCCAGACGCCUGCGGGAGGCAGCAGUGGGGAAUCUUCCGCAAUGGGCGAAAGCCUGACGGAGCAACGCCGCGUGAGUGAUGACGGCCUUCGGGUUGUAAAACUCUGUGAUCCGGGACGAAAAGGCAGAGUGCGAAGAACAAACUGCAUUGACGGUACCGGAAAAGCAAGCCACGGCUAACUACGUG
rnacentral:rRNA from 1 species